UACGUAGGGGGCAAGCGUUGUCCGGAAUCAUUGGGCGUAAAGAGCGUGUAGGCGGUUCGGUAAGUCGGCUGUGAAAGUCCAGGGCUCAACCCUGGGAUGCCGGUCGAUACUGCCGGACUAGAGUUCGGAAGAGGCGAGUGGAAUUCCCGGUGUAGCGGUGAAAUGCGCAGAUAUCAUCUGGAACGCCAAUGGUGAAAACAGCUCGCUGGGGGUUUGCAGACGCUGAGACACGAAAGCCAGGGGAGCGAACGGG
rnacentral:rRNA from 1 species